GAUGAACGCUGGCGGCGUGCCUAAUACGUGCAAGUCGAGCGAACAGAUGAGGAGCUUGCUCCUCUGACGUUAGCGGCGGACGGGUGAGUAACACGUGGAUAACCUACCUAUAAGACUGGGAUAACUUCGGGAAACCGGAGCUAAUACCGUAUAAUAUAUUGAACCGCAUGGUUCAAUAGUGAAAUACGGUUUUGCUGUCACUUCUAGAUGGAUCCGCGCCGCAUUAGCUAGUUGGUAAGGUAACGGCUUACCAAGGCAACGAUGCGUAGCCGACCUGAGAGGGUGAUCGGCCACACUGGAACUGAGACACGGUCCAGACUCCUACGGGAGGCAGCAGUAGGGAAUCUUCCGCAAUGGGCGAAAGCCUGACGGAGCAACGCCGCGUGAGUGAUGAAGGUCUUCGGAUCGUAAAACUCUGUUAUUAGGGAAGAACAAAUGUGUAAGUAACUAUGCACGUCUUGACGGUACCUAAUCAGAAAGCCACGGCUAACUACGUG
rnacentral:rRNA from 1 species